AUAAUGGCAUGCUCACUGUAAGGUAAAUCAGUGAAUUCACUGUUGCCAUGUGACUUUCUGAAUUGAGACUGUAAUAAAAAAUGAAGCUUAUGUAGGCAAUGUUGUGUUUCACUUAGCUAUGCAUCAUUCGUUGUUACGACCAAACGUUCGUGUAUUUCAUUGAAAAGUAUGACUAUUUGAAUUAUUUGUUGUCAUUUGGGUACAAGUCAAGUUUCUUACAUUUUUG
rnacentral:misc_RNA from 1 species